rnacentral:ncRNA from 1 species
CCUUAUCAAGAGUAGCGGAGGGAACGGCCCUGUGAUGCUACGGCAACCUGACUUUUUAGUUAAGGUGCCAAGUCCUGCAGUUAAACUGCGAGAUGAG